rnacentral:rRNA from 1 species
AUUGAACGCUGGCGGCACGCCUAACACAUGCAAGUCGAGCGGCAGCGAGACUAGUAGCAAUACUAGUUGUCGGCGAGCGGCGGACGGGUGAGGAAAACGUAGGAACCUGCCCUCAAGCGGGGGAUAACCAAGGGAAACUUUGGCUAAUACCGCAUAAUCUCGAGAGAGAAAAGCUACCCUUUUAGGGCGGCACUUGAGGAGGGGCCUGCGUCCGAUUAGCUAGUUGGUGAGGUAAAGGCUCACCAAGGCGAUGAUCGGUAACUGGUCUGAGAGGACGACCAGUCACACUGGGACUGAGACACGGCCCAGACUCCUACGGGAGGCAGCAGUGGGGAAUAUUGGACAAUGGGGGCAACCCUGAUCCAGCGAUGCCGCGUGAGUGAAGAAGGCCUUCGGGUCGUAAAGCUCUUUAGGUUGGGACGAAGGGUAUGUGGUGAAUAGCCAUGUACUUUGACGGUACCGACAGAAUAAGCACCGGCAAACUCUGUGCCAGCCGCCGCGGUAACAC